GAAACUCAAAGGAAUUGACGGGGGCCCGCACAAGCGGUGGAGCAUGUGGUUUAAUUCGACGCAACGCGCAGAACCUUACCAGGGUUUGACAUCCCGUGCCACGCUCAGAGAUGGGCGGUCCCCGCAAGGGGCGCGGAGACAGGUGCUGCAUGGCUGUCGUCAGCUCGUGUCGUGAGAUGUUGGGUUAAGUCCCGCAACGAGCGCAACCCUCUCCUUUAGUUGCCAUCAUUCAGUUGGGCACUCUAAAGGGACCGCCGGCGACAAGCCGGAGGAAGGUGGGGAUGACGUCAAGUCCUCAUGGCCCUUACACCCUGGGCUACACACGUGCUACAAUGGCGGUGACAGUGGGCAGCUACCACGCGAGUGGAAGCGAAUCCCCAAAAACCGUCCCAGUUCAGAUUGCACUCUGCAACUCGAGUGCAUGAAGGCGGAAUCGCUAGUAAUCGCAGAACAGCAGGCUGCGGUGAAUACGUUCCCGGGCCUUGUACACACCGCCCGUCACACCAUGGGAGUUGGUUCUACCUGAAGACGGUGCGCUAACCGCAAGGAGGCAGCCGGCCACGGUAGGGUCAGCGACUGGGGUGAAGUCGUAACAAGGUAAC
rnacentral:rRNA from 1 species